AACAUCGCGCACCUGCGGGAACCUGCGGAAGGAUCAUUAAUGAUUGGUGGCUGUUGCCGACUAGUGUUUCUAGUAUGUGCACGCCACACCUUCAAUCCCACUUACACCUGUGCACCUUCUGUAAUAGAUCUAUGUGGAUACGGAGAUAUGAAAGUUUGCGCUCUCGUACUCUGUUGAAGCAGUCUACUACGUUUUUUUACACACACACAAUAGUCAUUGAAUGUAUUUUUUAUUCUUAUG
rnacentral:misc_RNA from 1 species